rnacentral:rRNA from 1 species
UACGUAGGGUGCAAGCGUUAAUCGGAAUUACUGGGCGUAAAGCGUGCGCAGGCGGUUCGCUAAGACAGAUGUGAAAUCCCCGGGCUUAACCUGGGAACUGCAUUUGUGACUGGCGGGCUAGAGUAUGGCAGAGGGGGGUAGAAUUCCACGUGUAGCGGUGAAAUGCGUAGAUAUGUGGAGGAAUACCGAUGGCGAAGGCAGCGUCCUGGGCCAAAACUGACGCUCAUGCACGAAAGCGUGGGGAGCAAACAGG